rnacentral:rRNA from 1 species
AUUGAACGCUGGCGGCAUGCUUUACACAUGCAAGUCGAACGGCAGCGCGGGCUUCGGCCUGGCGGCGAGUGGCGAACGGGUGAGUAAUGCAUCGGAACGUGCCCAGUAGUGGGGGAUAGCCCGGCGAAAGCCGGAUUAAUACCGCAUACGACCUGAGGGUGAAAGCGGGGGACCGAAAGGCCUCGCGCUAUUGGAGCGGCCGAUGUCGGAUUAGCUAGUUGGUGGGGUAAAGGCUUACCAAGGCGACGAUCCGUAGCUGGUCUGAGAGGACGACCAGCCACACUGGGACUGAGACACGGCCCAGACUCCGACGGGAGGCAGCAGUGGGGAAUUUUGGACAAGGGGGGCAACCCUGAUCCAGCCAUGCCGCGUGCGGGAAGAAGGCCUUCGGGUUGUAAACCGCUUUUGUUCGGGAAGAAAUCCUCUGGGCUAAUACCCCGGGGGGAGGACGGUACCGGAAGAAUAGGCACCGGCUAACUACGG